rnacentral:lncRNA from 1 species
UGUCCCCCACUGGUCUUCUGAGCAGACUUGACGCAGUUUCAUCUCAUUCCUGAGGUAUCCUGAGCCCCUCAGUGCCAUACUUCUGCGUGAGUGCUGUGAACUGGAGCAAAUGGGUUGAAAAUGGCCAGAAGUUGCUCUUGGUCUCUUUAGAUCUUUUAUGACAAAGAAAAAAAUUGAAUUUCUGACCAGUUAAAAUCCAUUUGAGCCAGUUUAAGCUAAUUAUGCAGAACUGGAGCCUGAGGUCGGUAAAUCCAGGAAGAUGGCUGAAUACUAUGCUGACUCAAGUACAGACAAGGAGCCAGCUUUCUUGGAUUCCAGCUUCACUUCUUCCUUGACUUCACCCUGGCCCUGUGGUGACUGGAGGCUUUGUGAUAUGAUGAGAAAACCAAGGCUCCAAGAGCUUCUGUAACUUGUCCAAGACCAUGCAGUUGGUGCACAGUGAGGCACAGAAUCAGUUGUAGAAGCACUUCAGGGAAUUCGGAUACUAUUUUGUGGCCUGGCAAGAUCAGCAGCCUUACUAUCUUAGUCCCUGCCAGUCAUCAGCUUCUGGUUUCCCUGUUAUCCUGCUGCUCCCUAGAAUGCAGCUAUUAAGUGGCCUAAGAGCCAGCACCUUCACGGAGUAGCAAAGGAAUGGGACAGAAGACUCCAGCUACAAUGGGAAUCAACCAGUGUCUAUGUUGUACAGCCUGUUCCAGCAGUCCCAGUUGCCUAAAGGCCUAGCUAUCAGAAUAAGGUUCAGCCUAUGGAAAUUCCCAAUGCUUGAACUAACAGCAAUAGUGAUCUAUAUAGUCUCAAGGAGGCUGAUGCUUGUGUUGGAGGCCUUCUGAGCAUCUUCCAUAUCCAUCUGGCCUUAUAAACACUUUUUCCUCUGCUGUACACAAGGAAUGAACCAUAAAAGCAGAAACUCCAUCAUUCUUAUGAACCAUUUACAUGUGACCUCUACUUCAAUAUUACUUUGCCUGUUUGAGCUUUACUUUGCAUAGUGACUUGCUCAGUCUGGUCACUGUGGAUGAGAACCACAUUGUUGAAAAGCCCUUUAAUAUGUGGACUGUUGAAAAUUGUUGUGCAGUUGAGCCAGUGGGUUCUGCUGGCUCUGGGAUGAGGGCUUCACCUCAUGUACUUGCACUGCCCUUAUACUAGUUACUGCUAACCUCAGAAUCAGGUUGAGAAUUCAAAGAAAAUCAAACCCUUAUGUGUUGCCCUAAGGCAAAACUGUCCCUCUUACUACCUUAAGUGCCCGAUUUCCAUUAACCACUUUUUUUUUCUUGGUGAAAAUUAAUACCAUAUUGAAGGAAGAUAAAGUCACAUGGUCUUUAGCCCAGUGCCAGUACAUGAUUGUAGCUGAUGUAUAGAGGCAAGCAAAAGAUAGGAAUGUAGAGUUGAUCUGCACCACUAGCACACUGCUUUUUAGGCUAGGGUUGUGGACUUCCUCCACCAUCCAACUCUGCCUGGGCUUAGAUGGAUGGGACAUACCAUCUUAUAGAAUUAUCCCUGGCUUCUUUUCUAAAGACAUAGCACCACAAUGAAACAGAAGAGGAAGAGACAGACUCUAGUAGGAGCUACAGUGAUAUUCUUGCCUUUCUUCAGCUCCAAAAGUAAUCAGUUUUGCCCUAGCUCAAUGUCUGCUUGUCUCCUUAUGUCAGUCUUAAUUAACAGCAACAACAGAAGUCCUCAGAGGACUGAGCUCACCAUAAGAAAGGGAUCAUAGAGGUCAUCUAAUUCACACAUACCCCAAGUCCUGCCAAGCUCCUGUGUGGGGCUAUACCUAAAACAAGUUCUAUGUGCAGGGCUUGUCAGGAAAAGUCAUCCUGUUGUUUUUCCCACUCAGGGAACCUGGAGUGCAAAAGAGCAAAGUAAUCAGCAACUUAGCUUUUCUGGCCUUCCUGCCACAUGCAUAUACACGUCUCACAAAGCCUUCUUCCCCAAGUCCUAGGCUCCAACUCAAUUCUUAUCCUUGGUUCAAAGUUACUCACUGAGUGUGGGACACACAGUCACACAUAAACACACAGACAUGCACACGCACACACAAACACACACAUACACAAACACACACAAAAACAAACACACACAAAAACAAACACACACAAAAACAAACACACACAUACUCAGGCACUCACAUGCUCCUGAUGCUAAGAGCUAAAAUAUCUAGCAAAGAACUGUGUAGGAUACAUAUUCUUCACUCAUAGCUGACUAAGGUGAUUUUAAUGUGGAUGUUUAUAUUUAAGAAAGGUAUUAAAUAUGCAAGUAUCACUUAAAUAUUCCAGGCCAAUUUCAGUUUAAUGACUAUGACCACAAAUGGAUCAGAGCUGUUGCAAAAGUAGACACUCUUAGAACUUAUAAUACAGGAUCUGUUGAUCAUUCUGGGAGGGGACAUAGCUUUCCAGAGUGGUGUGAAGGGUACUAGAUGAUAAGCAAUAUUGUGAGGCAUAGAGGGUGAGAAUAAGGGAAACAUUCCUUUUGAAUUUUUGUUUUAUUCCCUUAGCUAUGUAAGGUAUGUUAGUUAUGUAAUGUAUACUAAUUACUUUAACCAAGAAAAUGUUAUGAGACAAUUAUUUUAAAAGAAAUGGAAAUAUAAAUGUUGUAAAACAUAACCAGGGAGAAUAUUAAAAGGUAAGGAGUGGGAAAGAAGAUGGAUAAUGGAGAUAGAGGAAAGCAAAUUGAAAUUAAAAAUGGGGCAAACAAGUGUCAAAGAAAAAUAAAAGGAAUGAUCUUAGAAAGUUAAAUGAGUGAAAAACAUAUGGAAGAGUCAUGACAAGGAAACAGAAAGACAGUCUGAAAGAGACAGCACAACAGGAUAAUGAUCAUCUUCUAGAAGGUGUAACUUAAACCCUUCCAUCCCUAGGAAGGAUUUGAUUCCAAAAAAUGGAGUCCAGAAUAAGAGGCAAAGUCAGCUCAUAGUGGAGAAAUACAACAAGCACAAGACUAAGGUUAACAUCAUUGGGUCCCAACUGAGGUCCAUUCUAUAAAACACCUAGCCACUGCCUCAGAACUAUCAAUUGAAAACAAAAUAAUUGAAAACAAAAAGUCAAACAAAUCACUGCCCAAGCAAGAAGGGUCUAGGGAGAUGUGAGAAGUGUCAUUGUAGAAUCCUAGAUGGGAUACAGGAAUAGAGAGAAAGGACAUCGAAUGGAAACUACAGGCAUCUGAAUAGAGAGCUGUCUUUACUUAAGAUAUGAUAGAUAAUAAAAUGUAUAAAAAUAGGUAUCAUUGAUGAGAGAUGUUAGUAUUAGAGAAAGCCAGGUGUUGAGGAUGUUUAAUCCUCUGUACCACCUUUGUAACAUCUCUGAAUCUGAAACUGCAUUAAAAUAAAGAUUCUGCUUCAAGUUUAAAGACAAUGGAAAAAACAUGGUAAAAUGAUGGAGAAGAAGAGAAAAACGGAUCUCUAUCUCUCUCCUUUUUGAGAUAGGAUGAUGUCACUGUGUAACUCACACUGGCCUUGAACUCAUAAUUCCCCUGCGUCCACAUUCUGAGUGCCAAGAUUACCAAGGUGAACCACCACAGAUGGCUAAGAGACAAAGAUUUUUUAAUUAAAGCUAGCAAUAUAGAUAAAGAAAAUUUUUAAAGAAAAAAAUCUACGAGGAAAGUCCAUUUGAGGACAGAGCGAGAAGACGAUGGUUAUCCACAAGCCAGAAAAAGAAGCCUCACCAGAAAUCCUGAUACUCUGAGUUUGGGUUUUCAAGCCCCUACAACUUCGAGACAAUGAAUAUCUUCUUUACAGUCUAUGAUAUCUUGUUUGGUAGACCAAGGAGACUAAUCUAUUACUUAAUAUUGGGAACAUUACUUAGAAGCUAAUGAUCUUCGAAAAUGGUAAAGUUAUUUAUGUUUGCUACUUUCAUUCUUCCUUUCCUCUGUUGAGCCAUUUAAAACAAUGAUACUGGCACUCAUUUCUCUUUACCUUUCAGUAUUUGAUUUCUAACAGAUGGCUAAGGUCUGACAAACACUGUCUUGAUAAUACACUACAGAGCGUUAGAGACAGACCCAGAUUUCCAUCCAAAGAGAGUAUUCUAAGCUUGGGUGGUGGCAAUGGAGCACUCUGACCUGUGAAGCACCAUUCUUUGAAGGCUUCUUUUGUGAUCCUCUUUAGAUCACAGUUUGGAACUGAGUUACAGACUAGAUCAUAUCUCCUCAUUCGCUCCAUUUGAUCUUUCUUCCCUCAUUAAUUCCAAAGUAUGCAAGCUAUAUGCUUUCUAGUGUUUUUCCCCCUUCACAGCCAUUGUCUAGGCACCAAAAAUAGAGAUGGAAAGAGACAGGUUUAAUCCAAAGCACCAGUUUCCAUUACCUUAAGCUUCCUCAAUGAUUUUUCUGAUGAGAUGAAAUUUCUUAUACUUGGUCUCAGGCCCAAGGUAUAUGCAAUACGUCAAUGAAAUUGAUUGCGACACAUUGAAGUGAGUGCCUGGGAACUAUGAGUUCCUUAACUAUUAAAAAAAAAAAAGGACUCAGAACUUCUUGUAUAGGCACUGAAUACAGAGUUUUCAGUUGCUAUAAAGAUCUACCCUGAUGUUGAAAGUGUUUUGUUCUGUGACAAAAGUGUAAAUUCCACAAGCUUCAUGUGAAAUCCUUCACAUUAUGGUGCUGCCCUCCCUCUCCAUUCUAAUCUCCUGUUAUUCUGUAUACUUCAGUUGACUUGCAUAUUUGUUUCUUUACAGUGUAGUUGUUGGCCACAUAGUAGUCCUUGGGGCUAGAAAGACAACUCUAUCUACAGGCCCUUCUUCCACACAGGCCAGAGUGCUUGGGCUCACAGGGGAACCUUCUAAAAUGUCUCAUGUGGCUAAUGGCACUAUAGAAGCUUGUUUCUCAUAGAGAAGUCCCACAUGAGGAAUUCCAUUUAUGACAGCCUCAUAGAAGGGAUAAGGACCAGGGAACAGCCUUUUUUCAUGUACAGUAUUAAGUCUUGUUUUCUAGCUCUCUUGUGUUGGGUUUGAGCGAUUACCUUUAUGGGGCAUACACAGGUAAUAAUACAACUUUUCUACUUCAACAUAGGGAAGAGUUUAGCAAUUUCACGGAUUGAGAUACAAGCAACAAUGAAUUUUCUCUCAGCAGUGAAUAUUUGUUCCUGAGGAAGAUGUUUGGUUUUCAUUUUAAGAAGUCCAGAAAACUAUGGAAAGUGCUGACAGUCCAGAACACACACAUUCAAAGGUCUCACCUUUCAUCAUCUGGGAAUAAUAGGUGCUCAAGUUCUACCUAUUUUCCUUGAUGUCCCAAGGAAGAUCCUUGCUGCAACAGAGAUGUGGAUGUCCUGGCUGAGACAAGAGAAAUGUGUUGAAGAAUGUGGGCCAAGGGCUGCUGCAUAUCAAGGGGAUGUGAGAUCAUGUCUAGUUUGACUUUGGCUCUUUAGUACUGUGCCCUAUUGAUAGUUGGGCCUGGGCCUCCAGGGGUCUCCAAAGCAAAGGAUAGGGAUGAGAUACAUGAUGAAGGGGAAGAAAAGCUGCUUCCCAAAUGGAUGCUUGUUGUUUGGAGAUGGGAUGUUUGUUAAGGUCAAGAUAAGAUCCCCAGAUUCAAGGCCUAGAUCUGCCCUUGACUUCAUGUAUGACCUUGGGUAAGCCAUUUCUAGGUUUUGAAUCUCAGUUUCUUUACAUCUUUAAAAAACGGGUUGGAGGCCAGAUGUGGUGGUUCACACCCUUAAUCGUAACACUCAGUAGGCAGAGGCAGGUAUCAGUUGAGGCUAGUCUAUAUAGUGAGUUUCAGGCCAGUCCGGAAUACAUAGUGAGACCUUGUCUCAAAAAAAAAAAAAAUCAAGAAUGGUUUGAGGCUGGGACUGUAACCCAGUUGGUAGACUUCUUACCUAAAUUGCACAAAGCUCUAGGUCCAAACCCCAGUGCUAUAUAAACAAGGCAUGGUGGUAAUAUGCUUGUCUGUAAUCCUAGAUCUUAGGUGGUAAUGGCAAGAGAAUCAGAGGUUCAAGGUCAUCAUCAGCUACAUUUUAAGUUUUGGGACAUCCUGGGAUAUAUAAGAUACUGUCUUAAAAACAAAGAAAAAGUUCAGUUUAUCUUUGAGGUACUCUCUCACACUGACCUUCAGUAUUUUUGGACCCUCAAGUUGUCUAAGGAAGGAGCAAAUGGCAAGACUAUUAUAUUUAGACUGGAAGUUAUAGAGUAUGAAAAGACUAAAAGAAAAAAAAACAUUUAAAGUACAAAACCACAAAGUAUACAAUGUUAUUGGCAUUUAUCGGUAUUUCCCACUAUAAGUAUUUUGUCCUAUUGUUCCUGGGGAACAGUUGAAAUGUCUUGGGAAACACAAUUUUCAUUGUUUCAGUUAUAUCUCCUAAAUUGUUCAUUCAACCAGCGAGGGCAUCACCAAGUUUUUUGUUUUUUGGGUUUUUUUUGUUUUGUUUUUGUUUUGUUUUGUUUUUUAACAGGGACCAGUGUCAAAUUUUUGUUUAAGGAAAUAUGGUCACCAUAACUCUGUACCACUCGCCUUAUCUUCUUUCAAGGUUGUUCUCAUAUGUGACAAGUUUUCUGUCUGUGUAAUAAAUGUUCAAGGAAAUGGAAACUGAU